rnacentral:lncRNA from 1 species
UUCAAUUCAAGCUUUUGUAAAAUAAAUUUAACAGAGGAAUACCAUGUCAUAGUGUUAUUUUCAUGCAUAUCUUUGUUACAUAAAAACGCUUCUUUCAAUAAAUUUGAGUUACAAUGAUGUAAUCUAUGCAGAUAGCUUAACAUAGAUAUAACAAUAUUAAAAUAUAUAGGAAAUCUACCUAAUUCUGAUUGUACAGCAACAUUUGUACUUUUAUUAUUUAAGCCUAAAAUAUGCUUACAGAACUUUAAGUUCAUUUUAUCAGCAACAUUAUUCUGG